rnacentral:rRNA from 1 species
GUCCUAGCCGUAAACGAUGGACACUAGGUGUUGGCCCCGUUCAGGGGUCAGUGCCGCAGGCAACCCGCUAAGUGUCCCACCUGAGGAGUACGGCCGCAAGGUUGAAACUCAAAGGAAUUGACGGGGCCAGCACAAGCGGUGGAACAUGUGGUUCAAUUCGAUGCUACGCGAAGAACCUUACCCAGGCUUGACAUGCUUGAAGUAGGAACCUGAAAGGGUGACGACUCGUAACCAGUCGAGAACUUGCACAGGUGCUGCAUGGCUGUCGU